rnacentral:ribozyme from 1 species
AAAUUAAAUCAAAUGAAUAUCAAACAAGUAGCAACAAUCGAAGUUUCCUCGUCUCACCACUCCUUUUUGUUCAUUUCUUUCUUUUUCUUUCUUC